AACAUGUGACACACGUGUGGGUGCGUGAGGUGGUUGACCAGAGAGCACACGCUAUAUUUGUGCCGUUUGUGACCUGGUCCACUAACCCUCAGUAUCUAGCCUUCCCUUGGAGAACUUC
rnacentral:precursor_RNA from 14 species